rnacentral:rRNA from 1 species
AUUGAACGCUGGCGGCAUGCCUUACACAUGCAAGUCGAACGGCAGCACGGGAGCAAUCCUGGUGGCGAGUGGCGAACGGGUGAGUAAUAUAUCGGAACGUGCCCAGUCGUGGGGAUAACGUAGCGAAAGCUACGCUAAUACCGCAUACGAUCUAUGGAUGAAAGCGGGGGAUCGCAAGACCUCGCGCGAUUGGAGCGGCCGAUAUCAGAUUAGGUAGUUGGUGAGGUAAAGGCUCACCAAGCCGACGAUCUGUAGCUGGUCUGAGAGGACGACCAGCCACACUGGGACUGAGACACGGCCCAGACUCCUACGGGAGGCAGCAGUGGGGAAUUUUGGACAAUGGGCGCAAGCCUGAUCCAGCAAUGCCGCGUGCAGGAUGAAGGCCUGGUGUAACUAG